CAGAGAUUGCCUUGUACAUGAAAGCUGGACAUGGCCCACUAAUUAUUUCUCAAGAAUAAAGGAUCUGUAGUUCUUCAUAUGGACUUUAUUGCUCUGAAAAUCAGAGAUUGCUUUGUACAUGAAAGAUGGAAAUGGCCCGCUAAUUAUUUCUUGAGAAAAAAGGAUCUGAUGAGCUUGGAUUGUGUCUAACUCUUGACCGGGAAUCUCCGACGAGUC